AGUGGCCUAGGUUAUGUGAUAGUACUGUUUGUUUUCAAAACAAAAGGAGAUUUUAGGGUCGGCUGCUG
rnacentral:tRNA from 1 species